rnacentral:rRNA from 1 species
GAAAGGGCCGGGCAAGACCGGUGCCAGCCGCCGCGGUAAUACCGGCGGCUCGAGUGGUGGCCACUAUUACUGGGCUUAAAGCGUUCGUAGCUGGGUUGUUAAGUUUCUUGGGAAAUCUACCGGCUUAACCGAUAGGCGUCCAAGGGAUACUGGCAAUCUAGGGACCGGGAGAGGUGAGGGGUACUUCAGGGGUAGGAG